UUCCGGGAGGGUGAUCGCAAAGAGGCCUGGGCUGAUGGCAGGCAAGAAACCCUGUUAGUAAAGAGGCGGCGUAACCUCACUGCACAGAGCAGCGUGCCUUUGCUGCAGGACCCCCCGCCCCCCACCUGCCGUAGACCCCGGGGGUCUCCGCAUCCCUGGGUUCUGUCUCUCUACAGCUAAGCCCCUCUCCCUUUACUGCGGAAGUCCUGGGACGCCCUUGCCAGCCUGGAUUCCUUCAGACUGCUUCUGCCCCCUGAUGCUGGCAGAUUUUUCCUUUUCCUCCGCUGCUGCAGGAUUCCCCCGACAACUCAGAGGUCAAGUUCAGGGACUCCUACUUCCUAGGUCAAGGGCGAGGGGCCCCUGGUGUGGCUUAGGCUGGGCCACUUGGAUCUGGAUCUACCUGGGCAAGUCUGAUGGACGGUGAGGAGGACGGGCCAGAAGCUGGGUGCAGUGGCUACCCAGGACAUAUAAAGGGCACCGGGGUGUACCGCCCAGACCCCCUUCCAGGAAGGGCUCAGGCCCCGGCCACAAUGAGCAUGGCGGGGUGACGGGUCCUUCAGGAUAGACCUCAGCUUUCAAACCUGGCCCUACUCUGCUUAGGACUGCGGAGGCCAACAUGUGGUCCAGGGGCCCAGCCCUUCUGUCCAGCGCGGGACCCUUCUGCUAGUCGUCUGUGCUCCAGAACCCCAGCGAGCAGCUCCUGGUGUCACGGCUUCCUGGCCUUUUUGUUUCAACGGGCCCACCUUCGUCUUCAUCCAAACGUUAUGGAAAUCUUACAGACGGCCCCUUUCCGGUUUUGCCCUGAGUGGGUGUUCGUCCGCUCCAGGCUGGGCGAAUCCCCACGGAGCUUCAUUUUCUCCAUCUCCUCUAAUUCCCAGCUGAGGGGGGCUGGCACCAGACGCAGACUACGUGGCUUCCCGACACACCAAAGGCAGGAGCCGGGCUUGUUGGGUAACCGGACCGGUCACGGCUGCUGGAGCUUUCCAUCGGCGCUCCCCCAGGAGCCGAGUCAGCCGGCUGCUGCCAGGAACCUCCACACCCCGUGCUUUGGGGGUCAGGAGAGGCACACGCGUGCACGCACACGCCGGCACUGUCCCCCCAGAGCACGGGCUUGAAGCCAGCAUCAGUGGGGAGUAACCCACGGAGGACAAGAACACAGCAAUUCCCUGGCCGCACUGCAGAGCGGGCCUGACGCCUCCCGCCCCGGGCGUGGGGCCAGGUGGGCAGGCCCUGCCAGGGGGUGACAGAGGCCACACCAGGGCAUGACCGAGGCCUGCCCUGACAUGCUCUCCGACACCAGCUGGCAGCAGCCACGCUCUGCCCUUAGGAGCGCUCGCACGACAGUCCAAACCAUCAGCUGCCUCGAGAGCCACAUCGCUUCUGACAGGCGGGCCGCGACAGGGCCAGCGCCGGCCAGCGGGCAGGUGCAGAGGGCUCCAUCCUGCGGCUCUUCUCGAAGGGCACGGCAUGUUUCUUCCCCGCCCAAUUAACUCCCCAGAGACCCAUCCAGAAGGACUGGAUUUGUCAUGAAAACCGACACGACAGGAUUCGUAGAGAGCUGGCUGCCACAGAGCGGAGGCUGGGAUCCAAGGCGCUCUUUCCUAGCGGGUCAUUUGCCUGACUUCAGCAGAAAUGCACAGCAGAUAACCCAGAGCCGCACGAGCACCUGCAGUGGAAGAAUUCAGAAUCACAAGUAAUGGGUCUAAAUUGGCAGGCUUUCACGAGAGUCCCACAAAUCUCCAAGUAGACAGCUGCCAUGGGUCACGUAAAACGUACGUAGCUUUAAUAUACAGUUUCAUUUUGCUUGAAUAUCAGCCUGGGUGCAGAGAAUCAAAGAACGGCUCGGGGUAGAGAAUUCAAUAUGAGAAUCCAGCCGGGGCUGCCAAGCCAUAUAUGUGCUAAUGUUGCAGUUUCGACACCGGACUUAAGGUCAAGAUUAAUUCAGUGAAAAAUAAUCAUUUCACAAUGUCGUAGACACCUUCUGAGUUGCAGAGCAGAAGGCAUCCAGGAGGGUAGAUGAGGCAUGGAGUGUGUUUUGCCAAAUGGCCAAAGUGGGGAAUUCUUUGGACGGACAGCCAUAUUUUUCUUUGCCUCAACUGCUCAAGUCGGCUGCUGCAGCACAAAGGCGGCCAAGGACAGUGCGUAAAUGGUGACGCUGUGUUCUAAUAGAACUUUAUUUGUGGACGCUAACAUUUGAGUUUCACAUAAUUUUCACAUGUUGUGAAAUACUCUUCUUUUAACUUUUCCCUAACAUUUAAAAAUGUAAAGGUCAUUCUCAGCUCAUCAGCAGAGCAAAAAAUAGUUGUUAUUCUGACCCCUGAAAUGAUACAAGGAUUCCCUAAGCCAUUGUGAGCCCAUUUUCAACAAAAAAAACCAACUCACGGUCGACCUCGGUUUACCUGUCCUCUUAUCCCUUCUUCCUCCCUGCUGCAGUCUUGGAAGCAAACUCUAAUCACCAAAUUAUUUCAUCCGUAUCCGUAUUUCAGUAUUUAUCUCUAAAAGAGGACUCUAGGGGCACCUGGGUGACUCAGUCGGUUAAGCGUCCGACUUCAGCUCAGGUCACGAUCUCGCGGUCCGUGAGCUCGAGCCCCGCGUGGGGCUCUGGGCUGAUGGCUCAGAGCCUGGAGCCUGCUUCCCAUUCUGUGUCUUCCCUCUCUCUCUCUCCCUCCCCCGUUCAUGCUCUGUCUCUGUCUCAAAAAUAAAUAAACGUUAAAAAAAAAAAUUAAAAAGAAAUAAAUAAAAAUAAAAAAGGACUCUAAUUUUAAACAUAAAACCACAGUGUCAUCAUCACAUCUGAAAAUAUCAAUGAUAAUUCCUUAAUAUCAGAAAAUAUCGAAUUAGUAUUAGAUUUUUCCAGCUGUUUCAUGAAUGUUUAUUUUUAUUUUUAUUUAAAAAAAAUUUUUUAAUGUUUAUUUAUUUUUAAGAGACAGAGACAGAGCAUGAACGGGGGAGGGGCAGAGAGUGAGGGAGGCACAGAAUCCGAAGCAGGCUCCAGGCUCCGAGCUGUCAGCACAGAGCCCGAUGGGGGGGCUCGAACUCACGAACCGUGAGAUCGUGACCUGAACCAAAGUCGGACACAACCGAUUGAGCCAACCAGUCGCCCCUCAUGAAAGUUUAUUAUUACAGGUUUUGUGUUUUCUUCCCCACCGUUUAUUUGGGCUGGGAUCUAGAGGAGAUCCUUAAAUGGCAAUUGCACGAUCUGUUCCUAAGUCUCUUCAUCUGUGAGUUCCUAUUAUCUCUCUGUUAUUUUUCUUUACAAAUGAUUUGCUAAAGAAAUUGUGUUUUGUUCUGCAGGGUUUCCUAUAGUCUGUAUUUCUGAUUGCACCCCUGUGUUGUCGGACAUAAUGCAUUGUUCUCCGUAUUUCCUAGGGUACAGCGGUAUUUUCUGCCAUUUGGAAGUUAGAGGUAAGAGCUUGAGGAGAUUCGAGUUUUCUUUUGUUUUUGGUCUUGCGUUCUUCCAUCAGGAGGUACGUAACAUAACGUGUGGUUAUUUCUUUUUUGUGUGUGGUUGGCAGCUGUUGAUGAUUAUUGCCUAGAUCAAUUCUUAUUUUUUUAAAAACAGGCUAUUUUUUAAAAACAGUUUUAGAUUUACAGAAAAAUUGAGCAUUAGUACAGAGAGUUUCCCAGAUAUCCCCUCACUGCUCCCCACAGUUUCCCCUAGAUUAACAUGUGGCUUUAGUGUGGUACGUUUGUUACAACUGAUGAAUCAGUAUUGGUGC